ensembl:processed_transcript Gm16759 predicted gene, 16759
GUGCGGCGCGUGCGCACAGGACGGGACGGGAGGGCGGAGCGACUGCGCAGAUCAGGAAAAUUGUCACCUCUGGCCUCAGGGAAACUGAGGCUCUGAGCAGUUAAGAGGCCAACGAUCCAGGUUUAUGCUAUCAGUGUCUGAGAUACAAUUAAGUCACCUUUUUGGGUGACAUUUCCCUUGACUAGUACCUCAAGAUUAUGAUCCAGGUGGACCAUCCCUCCAUUGCCUCCAGACAUGUCUAUGACGCUACCUAGGGAUUGUGAAGAUUUACCACCUGGUGGAAAAUUAAAAAAAAAAAGACUUAUUCUGCAAAUUGACCAAGCUUAAGAGAUACAGCACUGAGAAUUCACCCACUACAGAGCUGGUAACCAGGCCUUCAGAGUAAGCUGUGAUGUAUAGCCAUUCUCCUCAGCAGCCUGUUUGACUGAGGGAUAUAGGAAUGACUGCCCUUACCCAUGUUUUUGUUCAGAUUUAUGGUUCUAAAUCUGAUGGAAAAUCUAUCAUUGGACCAUUUGAUUCUUCCUAAAGAAAGGCCAAACCACCUGUCAAACCCACGAGCAACACAGCAAUGGCUAAGCUGAAGAAGCCAAGUUAUAUGUCUAGCUCCUCUGUGGGUGGCAGGAUCCAGCUGUGGGGAGUCCAAGGUUCCUUGUGUUCUUCUGGCUUGACUAUGAUAUUUCCAAUUUGGAGGCACAAAGAAUUGAGAACUUGGGGAUCCACUGAGGUCUGAGGCAUGGUGGUACCAGAAGAAAUAAAGGGGCCAUCAGCAUGAAGCUGGUCUCCCAUUGACAGCACCCUGACUUCUCCAUCAGGUUCUAUCAGCAUGUCUACUGUGAGGUUGGUGACGCUGUCUGCAGAGGUCAGAAGAGGGCUUCUGAUCCACUGGCGCUGAACUGAUACAUGCUUCUGAGCCUUGAUAUGGGCGCUGGGAACUGAACCUGGGUCCUCUACAAGAACAAUGGACUUUAAGGAAGGAUCUGAACGCCAGCCAGUGCCACAUGAUGCUCCUGAGAUCUUCCAUUCUUCCAAGAACAACCAUAGCAUAUACAAGACAGCACACCACCGUCGCCACCACCAGUGCCGCUGUACUGGUGGGAUACAUACACUUUCCAGCUUGUGAAUCGGGAGGCACACUUUCAAACAAAAACACUCUGUACAGCCUCAAGAGAAGGCUGCCUGCAACUGCUCGAGGUGGAGACACCACACAUGCUAUCGCAGUCCUUGGGUAAUAACUGUGUGUCAUAAAUAGGAUGUGGCAUUUCAGAAUGUCUUUAAAGCUAUUUCCUUUUGUUCAACUAAUUUAAUUUACCAAAUGCUCCUGGGGAAAGGGAGGGGGAUCAAGAUGCUGACUCCACAUUUCCUGGGGGGGGGGGGGGGAGAAUCACCAUUUCCUU